UUUUUUAUUUAACAGUUUGAGAUCCAAACUUACAAACGUUGCCGUUGAUUGUUGAGAUGGACUGUGCCGAGCUGUUGAAGAUGGUGCAAUCUAAUGAUACGGAUCACUCGAGGCAUGCAUUUUAUAUUAAUGAGACCAGAAGCAUUCUCACUUUAUACUUUAGGAAGGAAAUAUUACUGAUCUAUGGAGGCGUGCUGGCUUCGAAACUCGUCUAUGGACAUAGCUAGCAUUAUGUAGAGAUAAUUACAACU
rnacentral:lncRNA from 1 species